rnacentral:rRNA from 1 species
CAGCAGCCACGGUAAUACAGAGGAUGCAAGCUUUAUCCGGAAUGAUUGGGCGUAAAGCGUCUAUAGGUGGCUUUUCAAGUCCACCGUCAAAUCCCCGGGCUCAACCCUGGACAAGCAGUGGAAACUACCAAGCUGGAGUACGGUAGGGGCAGAGGGAAUUUCCAGUGGGGCGGUAAAAUGCGUUGAGAUCGGAAAGAACACCAACGGCGAAAGCAUUCUGUUGGGCCGAAACUGACACUGAGAGACGAAAGCUAGGGGAGCAAAUGGGAUUAGAUACCCCCGUAGUCCCUGUCUCUUAUAC